GACGAACCGUGCGAACGUUAUUCGGAAUCACUGGGCUUAAAGCGCGUGUAGGCGGGACGGCACGUCGGUCGCUGAAAGCCCCCGGCUCAACCGGGGAACGGGCGCCGAUACGACCGGCCUGGAGGGACGUAGGGGGACCUGGAACUUCCGGUGGAGCGGUGAAAUGCGUUGAGAUCGGAAGGAACGCCCGUGGCGAAAGCGAGGUCCUGGACGUUUUCUGACGCUGAGACGCGAAAGCUAGGGGAGCGAACGGG
rnacentral:rRNA from 1 species